UCGGCCCAAUAAUCUUUGACCCGAGCCCCAUCCAUUACUUCUCUACCUUCCCCAUUUACACACCACAAACAGCCCCCAAAGAUUAGCAUAUGAACCCCGACCCAGACCCGAUUCAUCAACAAUACGCAAGACCCAUAACUCGACCCGUAAUCGAUUUCGAUACCAGCAACAUCGUCCAUGGCAAAUGUCCGACUCAAAUCCAGUGUCGACCCAGCUCCGUUUGAGACGACCAAACCCCGACCCAGGUAGAUUCGCAAAGAAAUGGGUCGAAUAUUCCAGAAUAUAGUGAGCUGGCUCAUUCCAACGUCCAUUUUCUGUAAUCCUCGGAUCGGUCGUACGAAUUCGUACAAAGGUGUAGUGCCGGCCAUGGAAAAUGAUAUGGAAAGUUAAAAACUCCACACAAAGUGGCCUGUUUUAGUUGGUUAUUGGUGAAAGAAGCAGUUCCGACUCAAGAAAGUCUGGCUAAAAGAGGAUUUCAAUUAUGCUCAAGAUGUUACUUGUGUGGUGAACAUACAGAGACAAUCAGUCAUCUUUUCUUACAUCGCAAAUGGGUUGACCAGCUGUGGAAACUUUUUGGAAAAUUAGAUGGGUGAUGCCAGGUAGCAUUAAGGAGGUUUUACAAUGCUGGAACAAAAUGCUAAUGCAACCAACAUGGAGAGAUGAAAGAUUUUCCCAGCAUGUAUUUGGUGGUUUGUAUGGGCAGAAAGGAAUCAGAGAUGUUUUGAGGACAAAUAUUGCAACAUUCAGAAUUUCAAGAUGAAUUACUUAGGCCUCUUUUACUUUUGGUGUAACCAGGAAAUGUUAAUACAAACCAGAGAUAUUUUGAUAUGCUAGGUAGUUUUGUUAUUAGUACAGUAGUCUGGACCCUUUUUAUAAUUGUCUACCUUUUGAGUAUUACUACACAACUUGUGUAGUAUACCUGUUGAUAUCUAUGUAACUGUUACUUUCAUCAAAAAAUAAAAUAAAUUGAGCAAUAUGAUUUUUUUUUUUUUCCGACAAAGGUAACAUUUUGUAUAUCGGCAAAGGUACAUAUAUACCCUUGAACUAUUAUUAAAGGUACAUAUAUGCCCCCUGUUAUAUUUUUGGUGCAUCUAUACCUUUUCCGUUAAUGUUUGGGUACAUAUAUACCCUUGAGCCUUACGGAUGGACACGUGUCAUCAUCGUAACGGCUGACCUAUUAUUUUUAAUUUUACUUGACCCAAAUGAAAAAUUACCCAAAUUAAAUCCACACCCAACCCAAACCCGAUCCGGACCUAUCAAAGGUUCUAGAGAACUCAUUCUAAAAACCAUCGCCCCUCUUUCUCACUCUCUCUCUUCUCACGCUCCCACUUCAUCAGACAUCAAAGGGGUCUGAAAAACUCCAUAGUUUCAGAGAAAUUCUACAAGAAAUAAUCUGCAGGUAUUAUGUGCACUGCAGUUUUGUUUUGUUGAACAUCCACGAGGGACUUUAAUCCUACAUUGCAUAGGCAGUUUCAUAGCUGUUGCAGGACUGAUUCCAAAUUGUCCCAACUGAGAUUCCUGUUUGCACAAACACCGUAAAUCAGCCUUGCGUAGAACUAAGCAACAAGCCGGUGUUGGUGGUGGAGGUGGCUUGCCCAUCACUGCUGGUAGACAUUGUACACGGUCACUAAAAUUGCACUUUGUUUUUUGUGUUAUGUAAGCAACAAAGAGUUGGAAAAGUGACAAGAUUUGGAUUUUGUUUAUUAUUUGAACUGUAACUCUUGUGAACUCAGCAUGUGAUUUCAAGGUUCACAGAUAUUUUUAUCUUCUUCACAAAACAAA